UCCAGACUCCUACGGGAGGCAGCAGUGGGGAAUAUUGCACAAUGGGGGGAACCCUGAUGCAGCGACGCCGCGUGGGUGAAGGAGUACUUCGGUACGUAAAGCCCUAUCAGCAGGAAAGAAAAUGACGGUACCUGACUAAGAAGCCCCGGCUAACUACGUGCCAGCAGCCGCGGUAAUACGUAGGGGGCAAGCGUUAUCCGGAUUUACUGGGUGUAAAGGGAGCGUAGACGGCAGUGCAAGUCCGGAGUGAAAGCCCGGGGCCCAACCCCGGGACUGCUCUUGGAACUGCGCGGCUGGAGUGCAGGAGGGGCAGGCGGAAUUCCUGGUGUAGCGGUGAAAUGCGUAGAUAUCAGGAGGAACACCGGUGGCGAAGGCGGCCUGCUGGACUGCGACUGACGUUGAGGCCCGAAAGCGUGGGGAGCAAACAGGAUUAGAUACCCCAGUAU
rnacentral:rRNA from 1 species